rnacentral:SRP_RNA from 1 species
GCCUGGUUCAGUAACGUGGGCUUGUAACCCAAGUGGGGUCAUUAAGUUGGUGGAAUGUUGGGCUGUCCAGAUGGUUGGGUUUGGUGGGUUAGUUUCUGGCCUGCCCUGUCCAAGCACAGAGUUGGGCCUUUAGGAAUGGGCUGCAGGGUUCCUAAAGUGGAGCAGACUGCGUGAGGCUGAAAAGAGGCUGGUUUCACAGAGCAACGAACAGUUUUCGCUCUAUGCAGUGGAAGGAUAACGAGUCGGUGCCCUCCUAAGUCCAAUAACGCCUGAUGGGCUGCUCCAACUAAACCAUCACACUUU